AUCACUGUCAAGGACUCUCCUUGUGGAAAUAAAAUGUGACUUGGUGAUGCAGUACUGGCCUCUGUGGAGUUAUUUCAGUGGUGACAGAAGAAAAACAAGCUCCUGAGGAAAUUCAUUUGCAAUUGUCAUCUUUGAUUUAGGGGGCACUAACCGCACUCAGAAAAACUCCAUGAAGAGGCCAGCACCUGAGAACCUUAACUUCAAUUCUGAAGAAGAAGCCACUGAACCCUCAAAGGGUGCACUAUCAAGGUGUUCUCCAGUUCAGAGAUUCAUCUCGAUGCUGCCAGACCUGCUGAGCUCCCAUCGCAAUUUCUGUUUGGUUUUUGAUUUCCACCAUCUACAAGUUCUCUGGGUAUUUUUUUUUGUUGUUCGAUAGAAUUGUGCACUCUAUAGUGACCAUCCACUCAACUAUCAAAUCAUAGAUCAAGGAGAAAGCAAUAUAAAAAGAUCAGAAGUCAAACAAACAAGCCAAAAGUAACUUACUACAGCUUAUCUAAUAAGUUAUCCACACAAUUUAAUCAUACACAAUUAAUUCAGCUAUCCAUCUUUCCACCAGUGAAUUGCUUCACCAAUCCAUUCAUUCCUCCAUCCAACAAACAGCCCCGAACUCUACUAUUACAUUCUUCUUUUCUUUUCAAUAUUAUUCAUCCAUCCACCAGCAUGACAAAUGUCUGUCAAUUUAUUCAUCUACCAAUCCUUCUCCCAAGUAAUCCAUCCACUAAUCUUAUCCAUUCAUAUAUCAUCUAUCCAACAAACUAUCCAUUUAUUAUUCUACCAAUCCACCCAUUUCUCAAUGAUGAAGUGGAAUGAUAAAAUGAAUCACUUUACACCCAGUUCCACUUCAGGCAUCAAUGAGUUUAUUGUUUUACCCUGGUGAGGAAAGAGCCUCUUGGAAGUCCAGGGACUUCUCUAAACAAAGGAAAACAUGCAGUUACUCAGCCCAUUUCGGCUGGUUAUCAUCUAACUACUCAUGCAGUUACCUGGGGGUCUUAACAUCAUGUGACUGUGUGAUCACUGCGUGGUCAGACCAUUCCUUUCAAUCCCAAGAUGAAUACCAGGCUUUGAAGCAGUUUGGUACAGAGGCUUCUAUCAGCAUUCCUCAAUGCUAU